CAACCCUCAAGCACAGCUUGGUAUUGAGCCCAUGUCAGCGAUGGCAGGCUCUAAAAUCAGUGGCGGCGUCGUUGGGUCCUGAACGUAGUAAUAUCUUUCGUUACAGGUUCUCAGCGUGCUUCUGCCAAAACCCAACUUUCUAGUG
rnacentral:rRNA from 1 species